rnacentral:rRNA from 1 species
UAGUAACUGCGAGUGAAGCGGGAAAAGCUCAAAUUUAAAAUCUGGCGGUCUCYGGCCGUCCGAGUUGUAAUCUAGAGAAGUGUUAUCCGCGCUGGACCGUGUACAAGUCUCCUGGAAUGGAGCGUCAUAGAGGGUGAGAAUCCCGUCUUUGACACGGACUGCCAGGGCUUUGUGAUGCGCUCUCAAAGAGUCGAGUUGUUUGGGAAUGCAGCUCAAAAUGGGUGGUAAAUUCCAUCUAAAGCUAAAUAUUGGCGAGAGACCGAUAGCGAACAAGUACCGUGAGGGAAAGAUGAAAAGAACUUUGGAAAGAGAGUUAAACAGUACGUGAAAUUGCUGAAAGGGAAACGCUUGAAGUCAGUCGCGUUGGCCGGGGAUCAACCUUGCUUUUGCUGGGCGUACUUUCCGGUUGACGGGUCAGCAUCAAUUUUGACCGUUGGAUAAAGUCCAGGGGAAUGUGGCAUCUUCGGAUGUGUUAUAGCCCUUGGUCGCAUACAACGGUUGGGAUUGAGGAACUCAGCACGCCGCAAGGCCGGGUACUUGUACCACGUUCGUGCUUAGGAUGCUGGCAUAAUGGCUUUAAUCGACCCGUCUUGAAACACGGACCAAGGAGUCUAACAUGCCUGCGAGUGUUUGGGUGGAAAACUCGGACGCGUAAUGAAAGUGAAAGUUGAGAUCCCUGUCGUGGGGAGCAUCGACGCCCGGACCAGACCUUUUGUGACGGAUCCGCGGUAGAGCAUGUAUGUUGGGACCCGAAAGAUGGUGAACUAUGCCUGAAUAGGGUGAAGCCAGAGGAAACUCUGGUGGAGGCUCGUAGCGAUUCUGACGUGCAAAUCGAUCGUCAAAUUUGGGUAUAGGGGCGAAAGACUA